CGUGAGUUGCAUUCACUUCAUGUGGACUCUCCGCUUCUAUAUGUAUCGUGCGGGUUAACUGGUUGGACCGAACUGAAUGACACCUGCUACGACGUGAAAUUCUGGUUGCAGCGUCCUACUGGCUCCAUAAUUAUGAGAAACUCCUGUGGAUAUACCCAUGUUCAAAUGAACUAGCUGGGAAUGACAAUAUGUGGCGAUUCUGAAGGAUGAAGGAUUCAGGUGAGCUGGUUGCAAGUAUUUUGUUACGAAAUCCUCACACACAGCCUGGUGCCAUCCAAGGUAGGACCAUCACUGCCCGGAGUCUAGCCCAGUUGAUAUUGGGACACCCUGAACUGUUUGCAUAAUCAACCAACUCUGCCCAGUGACAUUUUAGAAUCUUCAAUUAACUUCCAUAUUUGAUUUUGAAUUGUUUGAGGAAGCUGGAAAAAAAACAAAACAAAAACACCUUCAUCACACUAGAGGGCCUGAGGGAAGAUCCCGACAAGAACCUGCGGGUCAUUUAC